AUUGAACGCUGGCGGCAGGCCUAACACAUGCAAGUCGAGCGGAGCGGCGGACUGGUGAGUAAUGCCUAGGAAUCUGCCUGGUAGUUGGGGAUAACUUCCGGAAACGGGCGCUAAUACCGCAUACUAUCAGAUGAGCCUAGGUCGGAUUAGCUAGUUGGUGGGGUAAAUGCCUACCAAGGCGACGAUCCGUAACUGGUCUGAGAGGAUGAUCAGUCAAACUGGAACUGAGACACGGUCCAGACUCCUACGGGAGGGAGGAGUGGGGAAUAUUGGAAAAGGGGCGAAAGCCUGAUCAAGCCAUGGAGCGUGUGUGAAGAAGGGCUUCGGAUUGUAAAGCACUUUAAGUUGGGAGGCGUUACCAACAGAAUAAGCACCGGCUAACUUCGUGCCAGCAGGCGCGGUAAUUC
rnacentral:rRNA from 1 species